UCAAUGUUUUUUCACCAUUUGCGCGGUAUUUUGACGAAACGACGUCUAUAAUUGUAUCGCAUAGGUAUUUGGAUAAACGUAAACAGGGUUUUUUUCGAGUAAUCAUUUUAAUACCUGGCAGAAGGCGAGUAGGCAUUCAGUGUUUCUUUAGUUUCGUUGGCAGUCGAACCCGGAAUAACAAGAUAGUCGAUUGAUUGAAUUUUAUAUACCUGUAGUGUGUUUUCGAUUCUCGGUUCUCAAUAUUUUUGUGUCGGUGGUUUCUGUGAAUAUCAGUGCGAUUCCAGCUGAGUUAAUAAUACUAGAAAAGUGUUAAUUUGCGAAUUAGUUGUAACAUUUUGUGUGUGUACAAGAAGGAGACAAUGUUGACAUUUUUUCAACUAGUGAAGAUGAUCAUAACCAAGGCCAAUGCCAAGGUUCAAACGUACGUUGUAAAAUACCAAAUAGUAAAUCGUCGUCAGCAAAGAGCCACCUAUUUGUGGAAAAGUGUGCAGCAUUUUCUCAAAAAUCAUCAUCAUUGCUCACCUCUGACAAAGGCAUCGAUUGCGAAGAAAUAAUCAAGAGGCAUUUGUCGGUCGUUGAAAUAACCUACGAUAUGAUUCUUGAAACCACGUUGUCAUUUUGCCAAAAGCCAACUUUGGCUCGAAACUUGAAAUAAGAAAAUGUGCUGUACAAAAAAUCAUGCGCUCUCUUGAGAUCACGAAGUACCAAUGGAAGCGAAUUUGUUCAAACAGGAGGAAAUUGAAUGCAACUUAUCUGGCUCACCAUCCAAUGUAAAUGAAUUGUUGAUAUAAUUGCAGUUUAAAUGAUUUUACAAAGUAGUGAUGCAAGGUUGUAAAUAUGUGUAUUAGAAAAUCAUAAAUAUGAUGUUCUGUUGAAAAAUUCAAUAAAGCUUGAUGAAUUUGUA